GUAUAUUUGGUUGAGCAGAAAAAGCACCUGGCUUUCAAACCAGGUCCCGGGUUCAAAUCCUGGGGAAGACA
rnacentral:tRNA from 1 species